rnacentral:rRNA from 1 species
AAUAUUGGACAAUGGGCGAAAGCCUGAUCCAGCCAUGCCGCGUGUGUGAAGAAGGUCUUCGGAUUGUAAAGCACUUUAAGUUGGGAGGAAGGGUUGUAGGUUAAUACCCUGCAAUUUUGACGUUACCAACAGAAUAAGCACCGUCUAACUUCGUGCCAGCACCCGCGGUAAUACGAAGGGUGCAAGCGUUAAUCGGAAUUACUGGGCGUAAAGCGCGCAUAGGUGGUUCGUUAAGUUGGAAGUGAAAGCCCCGGGCUUAACCUGGGAAUUGCUUUCAAAACUGACGAGCUAGAGUACGGUAGAGGGUAGUGGAAUUUCCUGUGUAGCGGUGAAAUGCGUAGAUAUAGGAAGGAACAUCAGUGGCGAAGGCGGCUUUCUGGACGAUAACUGACGCUGAGGCGCGAAAGCGUGGGGAGCAAACAGG